rnacentral:rRNA from 1 species
UACGGGGGGGGCAAAUGUUGUUCGGAAUCACUGGGCGUAAAGGGAGCGUAGGCGGGUUUUUAAGUCAGGUGUUUAAUCCCGGGGCCCAACCCCGGACAGGCACUUGAAACUGGGAAUCUUGAAUAGUGGAGAGGUCAGUGGAAUUGGGGGUGUAGCGGUGGAAUGCGUAGAGAUCCCCAAGAACACCCGUUGCGAAGGCGGCUGACUGGACACAUAUUGACGCUGAGGCUCGAAAGCAUGGGGAGCAAACAGG